CUUCUUCAUUAGGGUACCAGAGGAAAUUUCUAGACCUGCUGGCAUCAGGAUUGGGACAGAUCCACCUUGGUGACUUUCCCCAGGCAGUCAAAAAGGCAAAGACAGGCUGCAGCCAGGCCUGAAUGGAUCUGUUCUUCUCAGCCAGGUGGCUCCUGGCUCAUCUUGGCUGUGCUGUCGACCACCAAUGGACACCAUUGCCACUCCUCCAUGGCCAGCAUUGUAGGUCUCUGCCUCUUGGUGAGGCCCUGGGAAGGUGGGAUGUGACCUUCUGCUUCAUCCCUGCUGUGAGUGGAUCCAGG
rnacentral:lncRNA from 12 species